GACGAACGCUGGCGGCGUGCUUAACACAUGCAAGUCGAACGGCAAGGCCCUGCUUUUGUGGGGUGCUCGAGUGGCGAACGGGUGAGUAACACGUGAGUAUCCUGCUCUUGACUUUGGGAUAACUUCAGGUAACUGGGGUUAAUACCGGACAGGAGCUGCCGCUGCAUGGUGGGGGUUGGAAAGUUUCGGCGGUCGGGGAUGGACUCGCGGCUUAUCGGCUUGUUGGUGGGUUAGUGGCUGACCAAGGCUUUGACGGGUAGCCGGCCGGGGUGGGUGACCGGCCACAUUGGGCCUGAGAUAAGGACCAGAGUGGUACGGGGGACAGCAGUGGGAAAUAUUACACAAUGGGCGGAAGCGUGAGGCAGCAACGCUGCGUGCGGGAUGACGGCCUGCGGGUUGAAAAUCGCAUCCGCCUGAGACGAAGCGUGAGUGACGGUAAUGGGUAAAGAAGCACCGGCUAACUUCGUG
rnacentral:rRNA from 1 species